rnacentral:rRNA from 1 species
CCAAGGAGUCUAACACGUGCGCGAGUCAUUGGGACUUGCACAGGCCCAAAGGCGCAAUGAAAGUGAAGGUCGGCCCCGGACGUCGACCGAGUUGGGAUCCCGCGCUCUCUCUUACAGGUGCGCGGGAGCACCAACGACCCGUCCCGUCCGCACCGUCGGUGGGGCGGAGUGUGAGCGCACGCGUUGGGACCCGAAAGAUGGUGAACUAUGCCUGGGCAGGACGAAGCCAGAGGAAACUCUGGUGGAGGUCCGUAGCGAUUCUGACGUGCAAAUCGAUCGUCAGACCCGGGUAUAGGGGCGAAAGACUAAUCGAACCAUCUAGUAGCUGGUUCCCUCCGAAGUUUCCCUCAGGAUAGCUGGCGCUCGAAACGGGAAUCAGUCUCAUCCGGUAAAGCGAAUGAUUAGAGGCCUUGGGGCCGAAACGACCUCAACCUAUUCUCAAACUUUAAAUGGGUGAGAAGUCCGGCUUGCACGAGUGAAGCUCGGACGACGCAGGAUGAGAGUGCCCAGUGGGCCACUUUU